rnacentral:rRNA from 1 species
AGUCGAGGGGCAGCGCGGGAUAGCAAUAUUCUGGCGGCGACCGGCGGAAGGGUGCGUAACGCGUGAGCGACAUGCCCGUUGCCCGGGGACAACCGGUGGAAACGCCGACUAAUCCCCGAUGGGAUACGAUGCUGCAUGGCAUUGUAUUGAAAGUUACGGCGGCGACGGAUUGGCUCGCGUCCGAUUAGCUGGUUGGCGGGGUAACGGCCCACCAAGGCUGCGAUCGGUAGGGGUUCUGAGAGGAAGGCCCCCCACAAUGGGACUGAGACACGGCCCAUACUCCUACGGGAGGCAGCAGUGAGGAAUAUUGGUCAAUGGGCGGAAGCCUGAACCAGCCAUGCCGCGUGCGGGAAGGAGGCCCUAUGGGCUGUGAACCGCUUUUGCCUGGGGGCAAUAAGGGCGUCGCGCACGCCCGAUGAGAGUACCAGACGAAUAAGCAUCGGCUAACUCCGUGCCAGCAGCCGCGGUAAUACGGGGGAUGCGAGCGUUAUCCGGAUUCAUUGGGUUUAAAGGGUGCGUAGGCUGUGCGUCAAGUCGGGGGUGAAAUUCCGGUGCUCAACACCGGGGCUGCCCUUGAUACUGUCGCGCUGGAGUGCGGAUGCCGCCGGAGGAAUGAGUGGUGUAGCGGUGAAAUGCUUAGAUAUCACUCAGAACACCGAUUGCGAAGGCAUCUGGCGAAUCCGUAACUGACGCUGAGGCACGAAAGCGUGGGGAUAGAACAGGAUUAGAUACCCUGGUAUUCCACGCCGUAAACGAUGAUGGCUAACCGCCGGCGACACACUGUCGGUGGCCAAGCGAAAGCGAUA